rnacentral:rRNA from 1 species
AGUCAUAUGCUUGUCUCAAAGAUUAAGCCAUGCAUGUCUAAGUAUAAGCAUUAUACAGUGAAACUGCGAAUGGCUCAUUAAAUCAGUUAUCGUUUAUUUGAUAUUACAUUACUACUUGGAUAACCGUGGUAAUUCUAGAGCUAAUACAUGUAUAAAGUCUUGUAGACUGCAUUUAUUAGAAUGAAAACCAUAGGUUUCGGCCUAUUCGUGAGUAAUAAUAACUAAUCAUAUCGUAUGCUUAUGUAACGAUGUGUCUUUCAAGUUUCUGCCCUAUCAGCUUUCGAUGGUAGUGUAUUGGACUACCAUGGCAGUAACGGGUAACGAAGAAUUUGGGUUCGAUUUCGGAGAGGGAGCCUGAGAGAUGGCUACCACAUCCAAGGAAGGCAGCAGGCGCGUAAAUUACCCAAUCCUGACACAAGGAGGUAGUGACAAUAAAUCACAAUGCGGAACAAUGUUUUGCAAUUGGAUUGAGAACAACGUACAAACCUUAUCGAUAAACAAUUGGAGGGCAAGUCUGGUGCCAGCAGCCGCGGUAAUUCCAGCUCCAAUAGCGUAUAUUAA